rnacentral:rRNA from 1 species
UACGGGGGGAGCAAGCGUUGUUCGGAUUUACUGGGCGUAAAGGGUUCGUAGGUGGCUUGCUAAGUCAGACGUCAAAUCCCUCGGCUUAACCGGGGAACUGCGUCUGAUACUGGAUGGCUUGAGUUUGGGAGAGGGAUGCGGAAUUCCAGGUGUAGCGGUGAAAUGCGUAGAUAUCUGGAGGAACACCGGUGGCGAAGGCGGCAUCCUGGACCAACACUGACACUGAGGAGCGAAAGCCAGGGGAGCAAACGGG